UUCAAAUAUGACCUUUUUAAGGAAAUAAUAUAUAAAAUUGUUUUAAGAACCAAUAACCGAAUCGGAAUUAUACCGAAUCGAACUGGAAUCGAAGAACUGAAAAUCAUACCAAAUUGGAACCGAAACAACGAAGAACUGAAUUGGAAUCGUACUGAAAAUUCGGUUCAGUUUCAAUUCCUAAGCAAACCCCAAACUGAACUAGAACCGUACACCCAUAUACUUAUGAAUGUGUUUUCCAUUGUUGUAAUCAUGAAAUUCCAAUCGGCUUGUGUUGAGGACUUGAGGCCAAUGAUCUCAAGUGUGCUAAAUAGGAAUAUGCUUUUUGAAGAAUUUCUUUGGUGCAUUUUAAAUAGUAGCAUCGUAUAUUUUGCUUGAAACAAGCUUUGCUAGUUCUAGUUUUAGGUGUUGUUAUGUUAUUUUAAUGUAAGAUUAUCUUUACGUAUUGCAUUUUAAGCUAUGGCCUAAUAUAGGAUAAAUUUGACUUAGAACACUUCGGGAAAAACCCAUUGACCCCUUAUACUUUUAAUUGCACAAUUAUACCCCUUUUUUUUAUUUUUGUAAUAUAUAGGCCCUUACAGCUCAUAUGUAUAGCGUGUAAUUACACUCACGCUGAUGUGGAAAGAAAAUCUAACAUUGCUUCUAUUUGACUCUUUUGACUUCUUUUACUACCAUCUCGCUUCCACCUGCUGCCCAGGGUAGGAAGACUCAAAAAAAAAAAAAAAA
rnacentral:misc_RNA from 1 species